rnacentral:rRNA from 1 species
GACGAACGCUGGCGGCGUGCUUAACACAUGCAAGUCGAACGGUCCUGUUUUUGAAGCGUUUCGGCGUGGAGGGGACGGGGCAGUGGCGCACGGGUGAGUAAUGCGCGAGGACCUGCCCGCGGGAGGGGGACAGCAGUUGGAAACGGCUGGUGAUACCCCGUAGGCCGGGAGGUAAAAGGGCGGAGACGCCCGCCUGCGGAUGGACUCGCGUCCUAUCAGCUAGUUGGUGAGGCAACGGCUCACCAAGGCGACGACGGGUAGCCGGCCUGAGAGGGUGUCCGGCCACACUGGAACUGAGACACGGUCCAGACUCCUACGGGAGGCAGCAGUGGGGAAUUUUGGGCAAUGGGGGAGACCCUGACCCAGCGACGCCGCGUGAGGGACGAAGGCCCUUGGGUCGUAAACCUCUUUUGCAGGGGAAGAAGUGCGUGACGGUACCUUGCGAAUAAGUCCCGGCUAACUACGUGC